UACGGAGGGGGCUAGCGUUGUUCGGAAUUACUGGGCGUAAAGCGCACGUAGGCGGACUGUUAAGUCGGGGGUGAAAUCCUGGGGCUCAACCUCAGAAUUGCCUCCGAUACUGGCAGUCUCGAGUGCGGGAGAGGUGAGUGGAAUUCCCAGUGUAGAGGUGAAAUUCGUAGAUAUUCGCAAGAACACCAGUGGCGAAGGCGGACUCACUGGCCCGGUACGUGACC
rnacentral:rRNA from 1 species